UUAUUUGUUAUAUUAUAUGUCUUAUCUGUUUAAGAAAAUCAAACAGGUAUUCUUAUUAUUUUAAUUUCUCCCAACAGAUGACCUAUCUGUUGCAACCGAUGGGUCAUCUAUAUGGACAAAUUAAAUAAAUACUUCCUACUGAUAUAGUUUAUUCCAACGGAUAAGUCAUAUGUUGCGGAAAAUGGGUUUAUCUGUAACAAAUUAUCAUACAGGUCUUCUUCCUAUUUUAAUCUGUCCCAAUAGAUAACUCAUCUGUUUCAAUAAAUAGGUCAUCUAUUGAGACAAAUUAAAACAGUAGGAAAACCUAUUGAUUUCCUCCAAUAGAUGAGUUAUCUUUUUCCAUUUUUUUGUAUCUCUGUGAUUAUCAUUGACAAUUCUAGCUUUUCAGGUGGAUGUCUCAGUAAAAGAUACUAUUGAAUAGCAUGGUAUCGCAGUUGAUAACCCAUCAACUAUUUCCAAAGAGGAAGAAAAAGUAAAGUCUGUCAGUUUGAAAGAACGGAAGAAUUAUUAGUUUGAAGGGUUCAACAUAUCAGACGAGGUUUCAAAAAAACUAACAAAGUUGAUCAACAACUAUUCAGAAUGGAUUGUCGAUGGGGUGUUAAAGAUUCAUGCUAGAAGAAAAUAAAACGACAAGCAAUACAAAGUGAACCAAUCGGAUCUUGUUGUUGAUAUGUUUGACUUUGUUGUGGCAUAUCCCAAAAUGAAGAAUUGAUUUUAUUUGAUGUCACGGCCCCAAACUUGCUAUAAUAAUAAGGUUUAUUGGGGGUUAUUUAAUUGUAUUUAUUUAUUAAUUUUAUUAUUACAUAAUCUGAAUGUUUGAUAAUAUUUGCAGCAUGUCGAUGUUAGUUUUUACUACCUUCAAAAGAAGGCCAAGUUGCAAACAUGACAAUAAUACAAAUACAUGGCAGGCAACUAUUUAUUCAAAGUUUACAUCAAUAAGGCCUACGGUCUUUGUCAACAAAAGCUGGAAGUGCCCCGAAGUAAGGAAUGUUUAAUCAACAUCAUCAAAGGUUUUAGCAUUCCAACUGGCUUACCUUGACAUUUGAUGGACAAAGUAUACAUCCCGAUCAAUUAUGAUGGUAAAUUCCAUUGGGUGUUGGUUGUCGUUGUUCUAAAAGAGAGGCGCAUCCGAGUUUAUGAUUUAAUGUCAACAAGGAAACAUUCUAGGUCAUUGUCUGAGAUACAAAACUUGGCCAAAAUAUUGCCUACUUACAUUGAAUUAAGUGGAUUUUUGGACCAAAAGAUUCAUACUGAUUGGUCGACGAUUGAAGUAUAUCGGGAUAAAAUGAAUAACUCAUUUGAUGUAGAAUAUUUUGAAGGAAUUACUCAACAAUCUAAUGGUAGCAUGUAAGUUUCAUAA